AGGGAAUCCGAAACACUUCUGAAACAACAAGCAAAGAUAUUUGCUUAGAUUUAAAAGCUUACUGUGUCUUAAAAUAUGACUUCAAGACCAAAGAAUGAAAGAGAAGGUUUUACUUUCUCUGAUUUAUAAACAAUUCCAUGUAAUUUUGGCAGCACAGGUGCAAAUCACCCAGUUUAUUAACAGGACAAGCAAGGAGCAAUCUAUGAUUGCAAGGAUGUGCUAACAGGUCUCUAAUUAACCAACUGAUUAAGUGAGAUUAAACAAAUCACGGGGAACAAAAGUGAGUGGAUUAAGCCAAGGUAGCACUCAUAACAAGUGCUUCUUUUCAACUGAAACAUUUAUUUGAGAAGCCCUCCUUAGCAACUUAGGCACCUUCUUCCUGAAGCUAUGACUAUUUUGCAAGGCUCCAUUUGCUACGACAAAACAGGUCUGGCCACAUUUCUGCUACUAUUGGUAUUUUAAUGGACUUGCACUGUGAAUACUCUGUAGGCCAAGAGCAUGAACCAUCCCAGGGUUGCAUCAUGAGGGCUCAGGAUGAAGGUAUGAAGGGCUGUGCCUGUCUCCUAGCAGAGAAGCUGAGAAAAGAAGGAAGAUCUGCAAGGUUAGACGCUUCAAUUUCAGAUGACUGAGGAAACUACAAUACUAGGAAAGAAGAACAUCCAGAACUACAGCUGUCCUGCUAAACACACAGAAAUUCCAUUAGGUUUCAGAUGCUCCUUUUUUUCUCUCUAGACUACCCAAGCAUCUUGUCUUUAGCUACACAAGAGCAGGAGCACAGCAGCUACCCAAAAGCUCUCAACAGGAGGUGCCCAACUUCACACUGCACUGGCAAUGACCAAAAAUGGCAUAAUUCCAACUCUAAAUCUCAUCAGAAUGUUGGCUGUUCCACCAGCAGAAAACCUCUGGUACUGAGAAGGAAUAGCGACCACCUCUCGUGCAGAACACGUGCCAGCCACUUGAUCUUUUGUUUUUCCCAGCAGUGUGAAUGGUGACCCUCAGAGGUCCCAUCUGAGCAGUGACUGUGUGACUUAGGAGACAUGAUAUGAUUAGAUGUAAAACUUGAAUAUUUAAUAAACCCAUAUGACUACCAGCCAUCAAGGAUGACAAUUUUUAAGUCAAAAGCAUGUUUUAUUCUAUUCAACAAGAUAAAGAUAUCAGAACUAUAAAAGGCUAUCUCUUGAUAAAACACCAUUUAAUCAGCUUUUGUAGUUGGCCUGUACAAUUUUGGACAAAGAGCUAUUGGGUUUUUUGAGUCAAAGUGCUUUUUUUAUUCUCAGAUUUCUUCACAUAUUUAUUAAAAGUUGCUGUUAAUAAGCACACAUUAAA